CCGCCCUCGGGGCACUCCCGCCGCCCUCGGGGCAUUCCCGCUCCCCUCGGGGCAUUCCCGCUCCCCUCGGGGCAUUCCCGCUCCCCUCGGGGCAUUCCUGCUUUCCUGAGAGCACUCCCGCCGCCCUCAGGGUAUUCCAGCCGCCCUGAGGGCAUUCCCGCUGCCUUCGGGACACUCCUGCUCCCCUCAGGGCAUUCCCACUCUCCUCAGGCUUUUCCCGCUCCCCUCAGAAGUGUUCCCGUUCCCCUCACAACACUCUGCUCCAACCAGGUCCAGGUUCCAGUGUUCACAUUGAGGCAGCUCCCUGUAACUCUCAUGCUUCAAAACAGUGGGGUUUAAAAGUUCUCAAGCUAUGUUAGCACUACACCCAAGCCUUGGAAAAGCCCUUUCUGCAGAUGAGAACAUUCUGAGACCAUUUUUGGAAACCCACUGGAACUGAGGCACACCAGCAAUCCAUCUUUGCUCUGCAAGAUCCAUGUUACCACAGGACCUGAAGUGUCAGCACUGGACUUGAUCUUCAGUGAUGCUCAGCCCAAAUGCCUUCACUCCCCUCCCUUCUUGAAGAAAAGAGGGACAUGGUGAUAAUUUCCAUGGCAACACAGAAAGAUUCCAGAAACAGAGAUUUCUGACUAAAUAUAUGAAGGUUGUUGAAAAGCACAACUGCAAGAAUUCUCCCUACUCAGUGGGAAUAACAGACAGAAGAGUUAAGCCUCUGUGUGUGUGACAAUGCUGGUACCACCUGUAAAGUCCUGGGAUUCCCAUAUCCUGGUUAUCCCAGACAUGCACAGGGAUGGGAACUGGGCAUCGUCUCUACUUGGGUGUUUCAGAACUGAUCCAAAGAGAAACCUCUGGAUGGACAACUGCUAAAGAGAAUGUGACUCGGGGAAAAAGGUAGGGAUGAUAUCUUUAUUCGGGCAUCUGGACUUGUUGCAACACUGAGAGGUAAAUUAGGCAUAAAUAGUCAGAAGAGCACUCAGAGAUCUGGAUAUUUGUGUAGCUGCCAUCAGCAUCAGAAACAACAGUAAAGCAAAGGGA